GAACUGCCAGAAGGCCCUCGGUGCUAGAUCUCAGUGUCUGAAGACUUUUAUAGCAGUUGUUAUGGGGUUUUAGGAGACAAGUGAGCCAGAGUUGCAGAGCAACAUCUUAUGCUCUGGGCAGUUAACCCCUAACACUUCCCUAGAGAGUUGAUGUGGUCCAGUGCGGGUGGCGUUGUGGUCUAAACCACUGAGCCUCUUUGGCUUGCUGAUUGGAAGGUCAGCAGUUCGGAUCCGCACAAUGGGAUGAUCUCCCAUUACUCUGUCGCAGUUUCUGUCAACCUAGCAGUUCGAAAGCAUACCAGUGCAAGUAAAUAAGUAGGUACUGCUGCAGUGGGAGGGUAAAAAGCGUUGUCAUGCGCUCUGGCACUCGUCAUGGUGUCCCAUUGCUGGCCACAUGACCAGGAAAGCUGUCUGUGGUCAAACGCUGGCUCCCUUGGCCUGUAGCAAGAUGAACGCCGCAACCCCAUAGUCGCCUUUGACUGGACUUAACCGUGCAGGGGUCCUUUACCUUUACCUGUUACCCAGUAGAAUAUUGGGCUUGAACUCAAGAGUCUUGCUUUGUAAUCUCUUUUCAUGUGGAAGCAUAGGUAGUUUUCAGAUCCGGCCCUAUUUCUAGGUCCCAUUUCCCCAUCUAAAAAUUGAGGAUGAUGUUCGUCUUACUCACAAGUUUGAACAAAGGUGUUCACACAAUAAAAGAACUAGCUAUGGCGAUAGAGUUUAAAAUUAUCAAUAGUUUAAGAUAGCUUCUCUAUGCUCGUACACUCAAGUUCUUUUCGACUACGACUCUCAGUGGCCCCAGCCAGCAUGGUGAACGGUCAGGAAUAAUGAGAAUUGCAUACCAACAAAUUUUGGAAGAUAGAAAGCUGCAUUGUACUGAGUGCAACCACUGGUCCUUCUUGCUCAGCGUUGUCUUCACAGAUUGGAAUUGGCUUUCAAAGGUUUCAGAAAAGGGGCAUUUCCAGUCCUACUGGAAGAUGCUGGGGGUGGAAACGAGGACCUUUUCCUUGCAAAGUGCACAUUCUACCACUUAGCUACAGACCACCCUCCAGGUUGGGGAAAUCUGGAUUAAAGAACAGUGAUUU